rnacentral:sRNA from 1 species
UACUGUAUAUAAAUAAGGAGCUAUGCUCUAACAUAGCUCCCUGUGUAGCCGUUUAAAACGGUAGCAGAUUUUAAUACGGAAAUAAA